UAAUACGGAGGGUGCGAGCGUUGUCCGGAAUCACUGGGCGUAAAGGGCGCGUAGGCGGUGGGGUAAGGCUAUGGUGAAAGCCCGGGGCUCAACCCCGGGUCGGCCGUGGCGACUGCCCGACUCGAGCACAGUAGAGGCAGGUGGAAUUCCGGGUGUAGCGGUGGAAUGCGUAGAGAUCCGGAAGAACACCGGUGGCGAAGGCGGCCUGCUGGGCUGUGGCUGACGCUGAGGCGCGACAGCGUGGGGAGCAAACAGGAUUAGAUACCCUGGUAGUCCACGCCGUAAACGAUGGGCACUAGGUGCCUGGGGGAGCGACCCCCUGGGUGCCGGCGCUAACGCAUUAAGUGCCCCGCCUGGGGAGUACGGCCGCAAGGCUG
rnacentral:rRNA from 1 species